UGUGUGUGUGUGUGUGUGUGUGUGUGUUUGUCUGUAGGAUGGAUCAGGCUGUGCAGUGUGAAGUGUGUGUGUGUUUGCAUUUGGCAGUGUCGAGAGCACAGAGAGAAACACACUCCCAUGCGGCUCUUCAGGCAGCUAGACAAUACUGGGAGAGAUGGCCGGAUCUAAACAUUGAUGUCAGAAGAGAAAAUGUAAUUCCUUUAAUCCGACAAAGAGACCGGCGUCCAGAAAGUCGUGACACACACAGCUUGCAGGAUCCCCGUGACAACCAGGAGAGACAGGCAGAGGCUCCAGCCAAUCAGAGCGCUGAGACUUCCACAUGUACUUCACCGACCAGUACAAACAUCCUAAAUGCACAGCCAACUAGAGCUC